GUUCACAUUGGCAGCACAUACAUGUAAAUCAGAACAAUACAUAGAAGAUUAGCAUGGCCCUUCUGCAAGGAUGACACUCAAAUCUGUGAAGCAUUCCAUACUUCU